AGAUCAGAUCAUCACGUGGAUUUCAUGUGACUCAGGCGAUCUAUGUAUAGUGAUCUGUCAGUACUGCGCGCUACAUGCAUCGACGACUGAUCUCUGAGAGAGGGCACGUAUACCGUGUACUGCUGAGCGGAUACACUGACGUGCUAUACGAAGUUCGUGAUCAUUAUGAGUAAGUCCUUGAGGGCGCUGAGAGGGCUGCGCCAUCAGUAGUGUAGGUAUAGCCUCCAGCAAGACGGUAGGGGCGUGAGAGCGUGCCCCCCCACUGCACUGAGUACGGCCAGACUCCUACGGGAGCAGCAGUGAGGAAUAUUGCCCAUGGACGCAAGUUUGAGGCAGCAACGCCGCGUGGGUGAUGAAGGCCCUCGGGUCGUAAAACCCUUUUCUGGGGGAAGAGAAAGGACGGUACCCCAGGAAUAAGCCUCGGCUAACUAUGUGCCAGCAGCCGCGGUAAGACAUAGGAGGCGAGCGUUAUCCGGAUUUAUUGGGCGUAAAGAGCGUUGAGGCGGCUCUGUAAGUUGGACGUGAAAGCUCCCGGCCUAACUGGGAGAGGUCGUUCAAUACUGCAGGGCUUGAGGACAGCAGAGGGGGGUGGAAUUCCCGGUGUAGUGGUGAAAUGCGUAGAUAUCGGGAGGAACACCAGUGGCGAAGGCGGCCCCCUGGGCUGAUCCUGACGCUGAAGGCGAAAGCUAGGGGAGCAAACGGGAUUAGAAACCCCGGUAGUCCUAGCCGUAAACGAUGGAUACUAGGUGUAGGGGGUGAAAAAUCUCUCUGUGCCGAAGCUAACGCGCUAAGUAUCCCGCCUGGGGACUACGGUCGCAAGGCUAAAACUCAAAGGAAUUGACGGGUCUCCGCACAAGCAGCGGAGCGUGUGGUUCAAUUCGAUGCUACACGAAGAACCUUACCAGGGCUUGACAUGCAGGUAGUAGUGAAGCGAAAGCGGAACGAUCCUUCGGGAAGCCUGCACAGGUGCUGCAUGGCUGUCGUCAGCUCGUGCCGUGAGGUGUUAGGUUAAGUCCUGUAACGAGCGCAACCCUUACCGUUAGUUACACGUGUCUAGCGGAACUGCCCGGCAAAACUGGGAGGAAGGUGGGGAUGACGUCAAGUCAGCAUGGCCCUUAUGCCCUGGGCUACACACACGCUACAAUGGCCGGUACAAUGGGUCGCCAAGCCGUAAGGCGGAGCCAAUCCUUAAAGCCGGUCUCAGUUCGGAUUGUAGGCUGCAACUCGCCUGCAUGAAGUUGGAGUUGCUAGUAACCGCAGGUCAGCUAUACUGCGGUGAAUACGUUCCCGGAGAUUGUACACACCGCCCGUCACGUCAUGGAAGCUGGUAACACCUGAAGCCGGUGGGCUAACCUAACGGAGGCAGCCGUCGAAGGUGGGACUGGUGACUGGGACGAAGUCGUAACAAGGUAACCAAUCGAAUUCCCGCGGCC
rnacentral:rRNA from 1 species